rnacentral:rRNA from 1 species
AUUGAACGCUGGCGGCAGGCCUAACACAUGCAAGUCGAACGGUAACAGGAAGCAGCUUGCUGCUUUGCUGACGAGUGGCGGACGGGUGAGUAAUGUCUGGGAAACUGCCUGAUGGAGGGGGAUAACUACUGGAAACGGUAGCUAAUACCGCAUAACGUCGCAAGACCAAAGAGGGGGACCUUCGGGCCUCUUGCCAUCGGAUGUGCCCAGAUGGGAUUAGCUAGUAGGUGGGGUAACGGCUCACCUAGGCGACGAUCCCUAGCUGGUCUGAGAGGAUGACCAGCCACACUGGAACGGAGACACGGUCCAGACGCCUACGGGAGGCAGCAGUGGGGAAUAUUGCACAAUGGGCGCAAGCCUGAUGCAGCCAUGCCGAGUGUAUGAAGAAGGCCUUCGGGUUGUAAAGUACUUUCAGCGGGGAGGAAGGGAGUAAAGUUAAUACCUUUGCUGAUUGACGUUACCCGCAGAAGAAGCACCGGCUAACUCCGUG